CACGUAGGCGGCGAUUUAAGUCAGAGGUGAAAGCCCGGGCUCAACCCCGGAACUGCCUUUGAGACUGGAUUGCUUGAAUCCUGGAGAGGUGAGUGGAAUUCCGAGUGUAGAGGUGAAAUUCGUAGAUAUUCGGAAGAACACCAGUGGCGAAGGCGGCUCACUGGACAGGUAUUGACGCUGAGGUGCGAAAGCGUGGGGAGCAAACA
rnacentral:rRNA from 1 species